AUUGAACGCUGGCGGCAGGCCUAACACAUGCAAGUCGAGCGGAGCGGCGGACGGGUGAGUAAUGACUAGGAAUCUGCCUGGUAGUGGGGGAUAACGUCCGGCAACGGGCGCUAAUAACGCAUACUAACAGAUGAGCCUAGGUCGGAGUAGAUAGUUGGUGGGGUAAAGGACUACCAAGGCGACGAUCCGUAACUGGUCUUAGAGGAUGAUCAGUCACACUGGAACUGAGACACGGUCCAGACUCCGACGGGAGGCAGCAGUGGGGAAGAUUGGACAAUGGGCGAAAGCCUGAUCCAGCCAUGCCGCGUGUGUGAAGAAGGUCUUCGGAUUGUAAAGCACUGUAAGUUGGGAGGCGUUACCAACAGAAUAAGCACCGGCUAACUUCGUGCAAGCAGCCGCGGGAAUAC
rnacentral:rRNA from 1 species